GGCGCCUGUACGGCAAACUUAGACAAGGUUUAAGAACCUAAUAGGAAAAUUAAGCCCCCCACAGACUUUCUACCUUCCCCAGGGAAGUUUGUAAUGAGGAAAAAGAAAGGUGUUUUUGAAGAAAAACAAAGGAAGAUAUUUACAGUAAAGAUACCUAAGGUAAAUACCACUUUUGGUAGGAAGUCUUUUGGCUUUGAGGAUGCUCAGGUGUGGAACAGGAACGUCAAACAUAAAAAACUACAAUGGAUUGUGUAGACUGUUGCGCACCUGGGACGGUGGAUCCUGCAAAUUCGUUUUAUGUUCCUGUACCAUUUUAGUUCAUUUUUGUUGUUGUUCUUUGCAACCAAUAUUGUUGUCUCCACUAACUGGUCCUCUA